rfam:Triticum aestivum genome assembly, contig: Triticum_aestivum_CS42_TGACv1_scaffold_409493_5BL
CAAGUACUCCCUCCGUCCGGAAUUACUUUUCAUCAAAUGGAUGUGUCUAGAACUAAAAUACAUCUAGAUACAUCCAUUUCAAUGAAAAGUAUUUUAGGACGGAGGGAGUACAAG